rnacentral:lncRNA from 1 species
UCAUAUCUCAAUGAAUAUUUGUCCAAUUGAUAUGAGGUUUUUUCCAUUGUGUUCCUUGUGAUAUCUAGUAUUUUUUGAUGAUUUUUAUGAAAAUUGUGCACGUGUGGAAUCUGUUUGGGCUUAGGGAAUGUUGAUACAUGUCAUUUGUUGCACCUUGCUUAUUAUUUUGAUUGUGAAAUUCUGAUGCUUAAUCCAAUGGAGCUGAAAAUUUGCAUGCUUAUAC